rnacentral:tRNA from 2 species
CAAAAUGUAGCUUAAUUCCAAAGCUUUUCGCUUACACCGAAACCAUCUCUGUGAGACCCAGAUCAUUUUGAG